rnacentral:rRNA from 1 species
CCUACGGGGAGCAGCAGUGAGGAAUAUUGGUCAAUGGACGAGAGUCUGAACCAGCCAAGUAGCGUGAAGGAUGACUGCCCUAUGGGUUGUAAACUUCUUUUAUAAAGGAAUAAAACGAGGCACGUGUGCCUUUUUGCAUGUACUUUAUGAAUAAGGAUCGGCUAACUCCGUGCCAGCAGCCGCGGUAAUACGGAGGAUCCGAGCGUUAUCCGGAUUUAUUGGGUUUAAAGGGAGCGUAGAUGGGUUGUUAAGUCAGUUGUGAAAGUUUGCGGCUCAACCGUAAAAUUGCAAUUGAUACUGGCAGUCGUGAGUACAGUUGAGGUAAGCGGAAUUCGUGGUGUAGCGGUGAAAUGCUUAGAUAUCACGAAGAACCCCGAUUGCGAAGGCAGCUUACUAAACUGUGACUGACAUUGAUGCUCGAAAGUGUGGGUAUCAAACAGGAUUAGAUACCCGAGUAGUC